GACGAACGCUGGCGGCGUGCUUAACACAUGCAAGUCGAACGGAAAGGCCCUGCUUUUGUGGGGUGCUCGAGUGGCGAACGGGUGAGUAACACGUGAGUAACCUGCCCUUGACUUUGGGAUAACUUCAGGAAACUGGGGCUAAUACCGGAUAGGAGCUCCUGCUGCAUGGUGGGGGUUGGAAAGUUUCGGCGGUUGGGGAUGGACUCGCGGCUUAUCAGCUUGUUGGUGGGGUAGUGGCUUACCAAGGCUUUGACGGGUAGCCGGCCUGAGAGGGUGACCGGCCACAUUGGGACUGAGAUACGGCCCAGAAUCCUACGGGAGGCAGCAGUGGGGAAUAUUGCACAAUGGGCGGAAGCCUGAUGCAGCAACGCCGCGUGCGGGAUGACGGCCUUCGGGUUGUAAACCGCUUUCGCAGGUGACGAAGCGUGAGUGACGGUAAUGGGUAAAGAAGCACCGGCUAACUACGUG
rnacentral:rRNA from 1 species